GUGCCAGCAGCCGCGGUAAUACGGAAGGUCCGGGCGUUAUCCGGAUUUAUUGGGUUUAAAGGGAGCGCAGGCGGGCCUUUUAAGCGUGUCGUGAAAUGCCGUGGCUCAACCAUGGCACUGCGGCGCGAACUGGGGGGCUUGAGUCGGCGGGAGGUGCGCGGAAUUCGUGGUGUAGCGGUGAAAUGCUUAGAUAUCACGAGGAACUCCGAUUGCGAAGGCAGCGCGCCGCAGCCGUACUGACGCUCAUGCUCGAAAGCGCGGGUAUCGAACAGGAUUAGAUACCCUGGUAGUCCGCGCGGUAAACGAUGGACGCCCGCUGUGUGCGCGAUGUCGUACGCGGCCAAGCGAAAGCGUUAAGCGUCCCACCUGGGGAGUACGCCGGCAACGGUGAAACUCAAAAGGAAUUGACGGGGGCCCGCACAAGCGGGAGGAACAAUGUGGUUUAAUUCGAUGAUACGCGAGGAACCUUACCCGGGCUUGAACUGCAGGAGAAGGAUGCGGAGACGCUGACGCCCCUCGGGGCUCCUGUGGAGGUGCUGCAUGGUUGUCGUCAGCUCGUGCCGUGAGGUGUCGGCUCAAGUGCCAUAACGAGCGCAACCCCUGUCCGUAGUUGCCAUCGGGUGGUGCCGGGCACUCUGCGGAGACUGCCGCCGUAAGGUGUGAGGAAGGUGGGGACGACGUCAAAUCAGCACGGCCCUUACGUCCGGGGCCACACACGUGUUACAAUGGCGCGCACAGAGGGUUGGUCACGGCGACGUGGUCCGAAUCUUGAAACCGCGCCUCAGUUCGGAUUGGGUCUGCAACCCGACCCCAUGAAGCUGGAUUCGCUAGUAAUCGCGCAUCAGCCAUGGCGGCGGUGAAUUACGUUCCCGGGCCUUGUACACACCGCCCGU
rnacentral:rRNA from 1 species